GAGACACACUUAUGGGGCAGGACUUGCUUCAGUGGGGCUUUGGUGCUCACUGAGUCUUCCUCUUGAGUGUAUCACU
rnacentral:pre_miRNA from 1 species